UCCCAAUGCUGUCAUUGUGGUUUAUUAUAUUAAUCAAAAGAGGAGUUUUUUGUCGCUAAAUAGCAAUGUGUUUUUUAACAGAGUAUUUUUCUGAUAUGGCAGUAAAUGCAUAAAGAAAUGCAAAUAAAUUGAACACGAUACUGAACCAUGGCAGAAGCAGAGACAGGAACCAUCUUCAAAGAUUUCAGUCAAUCAUAUUGCCUCUGAUGGAACUUCCAAGAUAGAAACAGUCUUUCCUACCUGGUUUAAUGUGAAGAAGAUAUUACUUGUGUGCAGGUAGUUUCAACACUCUCAAGUAAAUGGGAACCACCAGGUAUACGCAAAAUAUUUGUACGAUAUUUCAGGUAGUAAGAAAGGCAGCCAGUCAGAUGUUUAGUAUCAUUAAAGGAAAUUGGAGGCAUCCAUACCAGCCAGGAAGGACCAUGCUGUGGAAAACAAUAAGGAAGUUAAUAGAAGACAACAAUGAAGCUGUUGAUGAUGAUAAUGGGGAGGAGAAAAAAAGAGGAUUUGAUGUAGAAAGGAAAUGUGAUAUCAUUAAUGAAUAUAAGAUAUUGCAAAUGAUGAUA